rnacentral:rRNA from 1 species
CCUACGGGUGGCAGCAGUAGGGAAUUUUGCGCAAUGGGCGAAAGCCUGACGCAGCAACGCCGCGUGAUCGAAACGCCCUUCGGGGUGUAAAGAUCUGUCAGUGGGGACGAAACUUGACGGUACCCACAGAGGAAGCACCGGCUAACCCCGUUCCAGCCACCGCGGGAAUACGGGGGGUGAAAGCGUUGUCCGGAAUCAUUGGGUGUAAAGGGUUCGUAGGCGGGAAAAAAAGUUAGGUGUGAAAUGCAUUGGCUAAACUUCUGUACUGCAACGAAAACUUGCGAUCUAGAAUGCGGGAGAGGUAAGGGGAAUUCCUGGUGUAGCGGUGAAAUGCGUAGAUAUUAGGAGGAACACCAGUGGCGAAGGCGACUUACUGGACCGUAACUGACGCUGAGGAACGAAAGUCAGGGGAGCAAAUGGGAUUAGAUACCCUGGUAGUC